AUUGAACGCUGGCGGCAGGCCUAACACAUGCAAGUCGAACGGAGCGGCAGACGGGUGAGUAAUGCCUAGGAAUCUGCCUGGUCGUGGGGGAUAACGUUCGGAAACGGGCGCUAAUACCGCAUACUAUCAGAUGAGCCUAGGUCGGAUUAGCUAGUAGGUGGGGUAGAGGCCCACCAGGGCGACGAUCCGUAACUGGUCUGAGAGGAUGAUCAGCCACACUGGAACUGAGACACGGUCCAGACUCCUACGUGAGGCAGCAGUGGGGAAUAUUGAACAAUGGGCGCAAGCCUGAUGCAGCCAUGCCGCGUGUAUGAAGAAGGCCUUCGGGUUGUAAAGUACUUUCAGCGAGGAGGCGUUACUCGCAGAAUAAGCACCGGCUAACUACGUGCCAGCAGCCGCGGUAAUUC
rnacentral:rRNA from 1 species